rnacentral:rRNA from 1 species
UACAGAGGUCCCAAGCGUUGUUCGGAUUCACUGGGCGUAAAGGGUGCGUAGGCGGUCGGGUAAGUCUGGCGGGAAAUCUCCAAGCCUAACUUGGAAACUGCGUUGGAUACUAUCCGGCUCGAGGAAUGGAGGGGAGACUGGAAUACUUGGUGUAGCAGUGAAAUGCGUAGAUAUCAAGUGGAACACCAGUGGCGAAGGCGAGUCUCUGGACAUUUCCUGACGCUGAGGCACGAAAGCCAGGGGAGCAAACGGG